UACGGAGGAUGCAAGCGUUAUCCGGAAUGAUUGGGCGUAAAGCGUCCGCAGGUGGCUAUGUAAGUCUGCUGUUAAAGAGUCUAGCUCAACUAGAUAAGAGCAGUGGAAACUACAAGGCUAGAGUACGUUCGGGGCAGAGGGAAUUCCUGGUGUAGCGGUGAAAUGCGUAGAGAUUGGGAAGAACACCGGUGGCGAAAGCGCUCUGCUGGGUCAUAUCUGACACUGAGGGACGAAAGCUAGGGGAGCGAAUGGG
rnacentral:rRNA from 1 species